rnacentral:rRNA from 1 species
AUUGAACGCUGGCGGCAGGCCUAACACAUGCAAGUCGAGCGAGCGGCGGACGGGUGAGUAAUGUCUGGGAAACUGCCUGAUGGAGGGGGAUAACUACUGGAAACGGUAGCUAAUACCGCAUACCAUCAGAUGUGCCCAGAUGGGAUUAGCUAGUAGGUGGGGUAACGGCUCACCUAGGCGACGAUCCCUAGCUGGUCUGAGAGGAUGACCAGCCACACGGGACAUGAGACACGGUGCAGACUCCUACGUGAGUCAGCAGUGGGGAAUGUUGCACAAUGGGCGGAAUCUGGAUGCAGCCAUGCCGCGUGUGUGAAGAAGGCCUUCGGGGUGUAAAGCACUUUCGGCGUGGCGGCGUUACCGGCAGAAGAAGCACCGGCUAACUCCGUGCCAGCAGCCGCGGUAAUUC